CUCCUCAUCUUCAGUGUGAUCGGCUCCAUAUAUCUGUUCCAAAAGCCAAUCGAAUGGAAGUACCGGUAGUGGAGUAAGCAGAAGGAAUAGAUGUGAGAAUGAAGAGGAGGAGGAGAACAGUAAAACAUCAGUGAAUGCAGCUGCCUCUGCUUCAGUUUACGCUAGUCUAGAGUCUCGGCCACAUCUGUCUAUGAGGUCUUGACCCCAGGAGCAUCAGCAGCAGCAGUAAACCGUGAAUCUGUCCAGAGG